UACGGGGGGGGCAAGGCGUUGUUCGGAAUUACUGGGCGUAAAGGGCGCGUAGGCGGUUCGCUAAGUUGAAUGUGAAAACUCUGGGCUUAACCCAGAGCCUGCAUUCAAUACUGGCGGGCUAGAGUUCUGGAGGGGAUAGCGGAAUUCCUGGUGUGGCGGUGAAAUGCGUAGAUAUCAGGAGGAACACCGGUGGCGAAGGCGGCUAUCUGGACAGAGUCUGACGCUGAGGCGCGAAAGCUAGGGGAGCAAACAGG
rnacentral:rRNA from 1 species